AACGCCGGCGGCGUGCUAAUACAUGCAAGUAGAACGCACAGGAUGCACCGUAGUUUACUACACCGUAUUCUGUGAGUUGCGAACGGGUGAGUAACGCGUAGGUAACCUGCCUGGUAGCGGGGGAUAACUAUUGGAAACGAUAGCUAAUACCGCAUAAGAACAUUUACUGCAUGGUAGAUGUUUAAAAGGUGCAAAUGCAUCACUACCAGAUGGACCUGCGUUGUAUUAGCUAGUAGGUGAGGUAACGGCUCACCUAGGCGACGAUACAUAGCCGACCUGAGAGGGUGAUCGGCCACACUGGGACUGAGACACGGCCCAGACUCCUACGGGAGGCAGCAGUAGGGAAUCUUCGGCAAUGGGGGGAACCCUGACCGAGCAACGCCGCGUGAGUGAAGAAGGUUUUCGGAUCGUAAAGCUCUGUUGUUAAGGAAGAACGAGUGUGAGAAUGGAAAGUUCAUACUGUGACGGUACUUAACCAGAAAGGGACGGCUAACUACGUGCCAGCAGCCGCGGUAAUACGUAGGUCCCGAGCGUUGUCCGGAUUUAUUGGGCGUAAAGCGAGCGCAGGCGGUUAGAUAAGUCUGAAGUUAAAGGCAGUGGCUCAACCAUUGUAGGCUUUGGAAACUGUUUAACUUGAGUGCAGAAGGGGAGAGUGGAAUUCCAUGUGUAGCGGUGAAAUGCGUAGAUAUAUGGAGGAACACCGGUGGCGAAAGCGGCUCUCUGGUCUGUAACUGACGCUGAGGCUCGAAAGCGUGGGGAGCGAACAGGAUUAGAUAACCUGGUAGUCCACGCCGUAAACGAUGAGUGCUAGGUGUUAGGUCCUUUCCGGGACUUAGUGCCGCAGCUAACGCAUUAAGCACUCCGCCUGGGAGUACGA
rnacentral:rRNA from 1 species